GUGCGUGGCCGAGUGACCCCGCGCCCGGAUGACCCCUGGGAUUUCCGCCUCGUCUUCCAGCGGGGGACCUUGGGACGCACGGGCGGCUUCGGAUCCGGGAGCGCGAGGCCUAGCAGCUGGGGGCCGAACUUGAACCUCGGCGGCGGCCGCGGGCGAGGGGCGGGGCUGGAGGGGCCGGGACCGCCGCCCCAGCUCGAGGACCCGUUAGACCCGAAAACCGCAGCCCCUGCCCCGCGGGCUUCCUUUAUUUUGGGGGGGGUUCCCAAGUUUUUCCACCACAGCCCCUUCUUCCCGCCGCAAUGUAGCUGAUGCUCAUAAAAAGUUGUAUUAAAAAGCUGACUGCAGCCCAGAAUCGAUCAACAAAAGCGACCAGCCUCUCUGGGUCUAACAUGGCCUUCUCAACAGAUGACUGCAAGUUGAUUUCGUGCUUUAUUAAUAAUAGUGACUAACCUAUGGGAUCUGAUUCAAUUUAUUAGGAACACAGUGCCACCUUCCAAAAUUACUUACCUAAGAGGACUGAGCCUGCUGUCUCUGGAGCAGUUAGCUGAAACAGUGCCUCAGAACGGAGCGUACCUGCGUUAACUUCUUGAGUGCUGUUUCCGGCAGCUGCUGAAAUCCACGCUGAGGUUAUCAGUCUCAUCCUACAAAAUGAAACAAGUUCUUUGCAAUUUAAA